ensembl:lncRNA
CAAUAUAUUCUUUAAUCUGUCCACUUAAGGUGAUGAUCCCAAGGUCAGACUGACUGUUUGAUUGGUUGAUUAACAGAUGCCUGAACUGACUGAUUUCCCUCAGUGAAUAUGUUUACUCUCACCUGUUUCAGAGCAUUCCCUCCUCACCAAGAGCCCCUGUUCCCAUAGAAACAGAGAACAGCUGGACUGUCAGACCAGGUGUGUUUGAUUGACGGGGUCACACUAAGCUGUCUCAGGAGUGGAACUGGAGGUGGAGCCCCACAGUCUUUUGAUCGGUAAAUGGAGUGGUCAGCAAGGGGCAGUGGAGAGACUCACUGCAGAAGAGGAGAGGAAAUUAAAUCAGCGGGAUACACAGGUUUGGGGCAGAUGCAAUGAGUGCCAAGUGCAAACUAAUUUAAUUGUGUGUGUGGGCUGCUGUCCCUUGAUGCCCGGCCCAGACCAACCACCCCAUGACCUUCACGACCCUACAGCCUGCCAUAGGGAGUCAACAGUCUGCUGCAGGAGGCGGCUGGGAACACACUUGGAUGUUUAAUCAAGAAAAGCAGUCAAGCACUUCAUCGCUGAUUUGUGAGUAACCAGCAUCCAACA